rnacentral:rRNA from 1 species
UUCUGUUUUUUUGCGUCCGCCGCGAACUAGCAUAUCAAUAAGCGGWGKRRRMRRAACUAACAAGGAUUCCCCUAGUAACUGCGAGUGAAGCGGGAAGAGCUCAAAUUUAAAAUCUGGCGGUCUUCUGGCCGUCCGAGUUGUAACCUGGAGAAGUGUUUUCCGCGUCGGACCGUGUACAAGUCUCCUGGAACGGAGCGUCAUAGAGGGUGAGAAUCCCGUCCAUGGCACGGACCACCGAUGCUUUGUGAUACGCUCUCGAAGAGUCGAGUUGUUUGGGAAUGCAGCUCAAAAUGGGUGGUAAAUUCCAUCUAAAGCUAAAUAUUGGCGAGAGACCGAUAGCGAACAAGUACCGUGAGGGAAAGAUGAAAAGCACUUUGGAAAGAGAGUUAAACAGUACGUGAAAUUGUUGAAAGGGAAACGCUUGAAGUCAGUCGCGUCUCACGGAACUCAGCCUUGCUUCGGCUUGGUGUACUUUCUGUGUGGACGGGUCAACGUCAAUUUUGGUCGGCGGAGAAAGGUUGAGGGAAUGUGGCGCCGUUUCGGCGACGUGUUAUAGCCCUCUUCCGCAUACGUCGGCUGGGAUUGAGGACCGCAGCGCGCCUUUAAUGGCCGGGGGUUCGCCCUACGUACCGCGCUUAGGAUGUUGGCAUAAUGGCUUUAAGCGACCCGUCUUGAAACACGGACCAAGGAGUCUAACAUGCUUGCGAGUGUUCGGGUGGAAAACCCUUGCGCGUAAUGAAAGUGAAAGUUGGGAGCCUCCGUAAGGGGGUGCACCGACGCCCGGCCCUGAAGUUCUCUGACGGUGCUGCGGUAGAGCACGUAUGUUGGGACCCGAAAGAUGGUGAACUAUGCCUGAAUAGGGCGAAGCCAGAGGAAACUCUGGUGGAGGCUCGUAGCGAUUCUGACGUGCAAAUCGAUCGUCAAAUUUGGGUAUAGGGGCGAAAGACUAAUCGAACCMWYUWKKWKCYSKUUCCUGCCGAUCCUCCCCCCAAAAAAAAAAAAAAA